UCUCUCUCUCUCUCUCUCAAAAAUAAAUAAACAUUAAAAAAACACAGUUCUUCCCUUUUACAAAUAUUUAUACAUCACUAAAUCAGAAAAUGCUACACCCUCAGGCAUGCUCCCAGCAAACAAGGCUUUGGCAGAUUGUUGACACCAGUUUGCAAAGAAAUGUCUACACUGUGAGUAAAUCACUAACGUUUCCAUCUUCUUGAUGCUUCCACAAUUCAAGAAAUGUUAAAAUGUUUACUAUCUUUUCUGUCUUUAAUUUCUGUCGACGAGAAAAAGAUGAAACAUGAAGGACUAGAGUUCCACGGCUGACCAAGGUUGGCAAGGUCACGGAGGAAACCUAGAACGCACGCGCGCCCCUGAGAUCUGGGGCCACAGGUGCGCCAAGGUCCCGACGAUCCGGCCUCCGCCAGCCGCUUCAGCUCAGCGAACACGUUUGGAGCCAGACAAGGGAGGCUCACUUGCCUGGGUUACUUCUUGCUGGUGCCUCUGGAAAUCGUAAGUGAAAUUUAAACUGUCCCCUGAAACUGAUAUGAGGUCUAGACUGUGGGAACCUGAGCCGGCCGGACAUGUGGCCUGGGGAGAGAAAGACAGACGAAAGUGUCAUAUGCUGAGAGAGCUUAAGAGACUAACAGCCAGAUGCGCCAUGGAGACCUUGAGUGGAGCCUAUUGGAACAAAAACAACUGUAGCAGCCCACUGACAGACACCUGAAACACGCAGAGCGAGAACUUCUUCGGGCAACUCCUGGCUGCCCUACUCCCUUGGUGUUUGUGUUUUAUUAAAGACUGAACAUAACUUUAUCUCAAGGUCCUGAAAGCCUUGCUUCCACAUUCCUUAGAAACUUACUUUAUCUCUAUGGCCCUCCCUCCACAAACCUAAAGGUGUAUAAUCAGUCACCCCUCACAACCCCGGGGCAGCUCUUUCUGCCCCCGGGUCCCGUCCCCGUGCUUUAGUAAAACCGCCUUUUCGCACCGAAGACAUCUCAAGAAUUCUUUCUUAGCCGUUUGCUCAAGAACCCCAUCCGUGGGGAACAGAGAGAACAAAACUGGCUCAAUGUGAUAUGGGAGGCUGGUGACAGAGCCUCGGGGACUGUUGUGUGCCUACCGCUACCGUUGUGUGUGUUUGGAAAUCUCUGCGACGGAAAGCUUGAAGAGAGAACACACAAUUGAAUUUGGCCCUCUCAGUCAAAAAGGAUGAAAGGAAGAAAGAAAAGGAGGGAAGAAAGUGAAAGAGGAGAGAGUGCCUGAGUGCGCACAGGGUGACCCAGAGGGCUAGCCUCUCCCGGCGUGCAGAGUCCGCGGGAAUGACACCGCCAGGCAGGAGGGGCCGCGGCCAGGCCAGUAGCAUGACCGAAUCUUGCCCCUUCUGCCGCCUUUGUGCAGUCCCCACAUCAGUCAUCCGGGACUGGUUCCUCGCCUCCGGCUGUGUUACGGAGGUGUGUUUCUCAUUGCGAAAUCCAGCUGGAGACCUGUACACUUUAUGAGCCCCGCACUGGUGGGCGAUGCUCUUUGCCAAGACUUACAGUCAAUUCCAGGGCUCUCGGGGGAAAUCUGAACCCCUUGCAAGAGGAGGAAUGUUUGUCCAGUUUCCUUCGGUUGAUCCCGUUCGGAUUCACUAGCCAUCAGCCUAAAAUCAGGGCUGGGAUGUGGAUUCUCACGGGUUCUGGGGAGGGUCACGAACCUGAAAUCGCUUCCAUUCCAGAAGCACCCAUCCACAGCAUGACCGAAAAAGCUGAUAGGGACGUGAGUUUGCCUUUCGUCCUCUCUCUUCCUCUCCUUUCCUGCAGGUGCAGGAUGUCUGGAGAAGUGGGAGAUGGGAGCUGGGAAUGUACAGAUAUGGGUGCGAGACAGCCACGAUGUUGUCUACACAGGGUGCCAUCACCCUAGAGACCCCUGGGACCCACGGGACUUUAGGAGAGCCUUUUCUUCCCCUCCACGGCCCCAGUGCCUCUCCCGUUCUCAAUUUCACUGGGAAACAUAUCCCCGAAAGCACAGACUAACCUGAGAAGAUUCUCUGCUGGUUUACUUUUAUUAUUAACCCUUUUAUGAGAACUUUUAAGAUCUACUCUUUGGGCAACUUUCAAAUGUACAGCACAGUUAUUAUUAACUACCAUCAAUCACCAUGCUGUCUGCCACACCCAAGACCUACUCAUUUCAUAACUGGAAGUGUGUGCCUUUCAACCCCUUCACUGAUUCCACCCGCCCCCACUCCUCCGUGUCUACGGGUCUGCUUUUUGUUUUGUGUGGCCGCACACCAAAGAAGUUCUCAGAUACAGGAUGGAGCGGACGUGCGGGCAUGCUUCCACCAGUGAAACAGCUGCAGCAGCAAACCGCACAGAGUCUUUAUUUCAUACUUUCUUAGAUAUGAGUAUCAAAGGAUAUCAAAGCAUGGGUAGGGAACACAAAGGAUCUUUAGACAUUAACCAGACAUGCACCUGCUGGCUACGUGAAGGGAGUACAUGUAGUUUCAAGGAGUGUCAGGGGGUCACAGCGGAUUUUGUAUCUAAUUGUCCUCUGCGGUGUCACGGGGCUCUGUUCUCAGAGUGCUAUCGCGCUCGACAACCUUGGGACCAGAACAUCGCUGACGUUUCAGCUCUCACCCCGUUCACCCUCCAGGACUUACAAUACCCUCUCUAGCAAUGACUCCACAGUUUUAUCGUUGCUGGUGUUUUAGAUCCCACAGCUGGCGAAUAUGAUCAAGGGGAGAGGGGCACACGCAUCUGGACUCCAUCCACAAAAGUCUGACCAAGACAUUUGAGGCUGAUAAUGGUCCUCGCCUGGCGUGGGCGUCGAGAUGACGACUGGGGACUGGCUCUCGGCCACGGCUCCUGGAAUAGACCCGGCCUGUACCCUCACCGACACACCUUCUGCAAUCACAUGAACCCUCCUCCUGGACCCUCCAUGGAACCCCCUCCUCCCAGACCCUCACCAGACCCUCCUCCUGGACCCUCCAUGGAAGCCCCUCCUCCCGGACCCUCACCAGACCCUCCUCCUGGACCCUCCACGGACCCUGGUACCACAUGAAAAAAUAGUUCUGAUGACGUGAUUCUCCUGCUGGUGAAUAAUCUCUCCUGACAGAAAUGGCACACUGGGUGACUUGGGGAGCUGCCACUCUACUGGCCACAAGUGGCAAAGAGAGGAGAGCAUGAGUGGGAGAGGAGCAGAAGGCGAAAGAGAAUCUUCAGGAGGCUUCAUGUCCAGCAAGGAGCCCACCCAACACAGGGCUCGCUCUCACGACCUGGGAUCAUGACCUGAGCCACAAUCAAGACUUGAACACUCAGCCGACUGAGCCUCCCAGUGCAGUGACUCAUGGGAUGAGGCACAGCCUUGCUGUGGGUCUUAUCAAGGAGGACCCUGAUUCUCACAAACUACCAGUCCAAAGAAGCAACAGGAAACAAGAACAGAGCUGUGGGCGCCAUGCUGUGGUAACAGAAGAAGGCAGUUUCUCUGGAGCCACGCUGCCCUCUGUGAGGCCGAGGCAACCAGCGGAACCACAAGCAAAGAUUCGCCAAUAGGAACUUGUGUGCGGGGCUGCUGUUGGUGAGAUGACGUAAGUUAUAAUGAUGUUGCUAAGCUUUUUUACAAUGUGUGCAAAAUUGGGAAAAAUGAUGGGCACACGUUGGAAAUGUUGUGGAUCUGGUUCCAGUCCAUUGGGAUAAAGUGAAUAUUGAAAUAAAGAGAGUCAAGUGAACUUUUUGCUUUCCUGGUGCACAUAAAGUUAUGUUUACACCGUACUGUAGUCUGUGAAA